AUUGAACGCUGGCGGCAGGCCUAACACAUGCAAGUCGAACGAGUGGCGCACGGGUGAGUGAUGUCUGUGAAACUGCCUGAUGGAGGGGGAUAACUACUGGAAACGGUAGCGAAUACCGCAUACCAUCGGAUGUGCGCAGAUGGGAUUAGCUAGUAGGUGGGGUAAAGGAUCACCUAGGCGACGAUCCCUAGCUGGUCGGAGAGGAUGACCAGCCCCACUAGAAUGGAGCCACGGUCCAGACUCCUACGGUAGGCAGCAGAGGAGAAUAUUGCACUGGGCGAGCAAGCCUGAUGCAGCCAUGCCGCGUGUAGUAAGAAGGCCAUGGGGUUUUAGAGUUCUUCCAGCGGGGUGUCGGUACCCUCAGAAUAAGCACCGGCUAACUCCGUGCCAGCAGCCGCGGUAAUAC
rnacentral:rRNA from 1 species